UGGCCGCUGGGAAGUUGGGAGAGCCAGGCUGGGGCUCCGGCAGGCCCAGGGAAAGUUCCCUUUCUAGGCUCUUUAUUAAAAAAUUUAAAAGGAGGAGUUGAGGCGCCUUGAAUUUUCCUUCGUGAGUUUGGAGACCAGCCGAUUUUUCAUGAAGCUAGCAAAGACUGCGGUCCUGGAUCCUGCAACAUAUACCUCAUUUUCUCCAGGCCUCUCCACUUGCUCGAGCUCUCAGCCACCAGGAGACAGACGGAAGGGGCUUCUGGGCUGUGUUGGGAGCGGGCACUGUCCCCUACCCACUCCUGCACAGUUUCCCAAAGUCCAGCGACCUCCGACCCUCCUUGGGGGAAAAAAUACCAGUACCCAGACAACUCUGCAUCCUGUUAUAUGACUGGGCUUGCUUCAGGAAUAUCUUACAAAGAAGAAGAAGAAGAAGGAAGAGGAGGAACGGCUUGGAGUCAUGUUUACAUCUAGUUCUACUGAUCCGUUCACAUCUGGAGAGUUUAUUUAUAACUCCCUCUAUAACUCUCUGUUUGGAGGCACUGGUGGCUCUACUGACAGACUGAUGUCUAGGAAAUAUUGCUCUAUGUCUAACCGUACCUAAAUGUGCUGUGGUUGUAUUUACAGAUUUACGUUUGAGGGAAAUAUAAUUAUUUCCAUUGUAUUUGUGCAUAUACAGUAGUUAUAGGAGCAGAUUUAUAUAUGGGAAAAUAUACGACUCUCUUACAGCC
rnacentral:lncRNA from 10 species